AUUGAACGCUGGCGGCAGGCCUAACACAUGCAAGUCGAGCGGCAGCGGGAAAGUAGCUUGCUACUUUUGCCGGCGAGCGGCGGACGGGUGAGUAAUGCCUGGGAAAUUGCCCAGUCGAGGGGGAUAACAGUUGGAAACGACUGCUAAUACCGCAUACGCCCUACGGGGGAAAGCAGGGGACCUUCGGGCCUUGCGCGAUUGGAUAUGCCCCGGUGGGAUUAGCUAGUUGGUGAGGUAAUGGCUCACCAAGGCGACGAUCCCUAGCUGGUUUGAGAGGAUGAUCAGCCCCACUGGAAAUGAGACACGGUCCAGACUCCUACGGGAGGCAGCAGUGGGGAAUAUUGCCCAAUGGGGGAAACCCUGAUGCAGCCCUGCCGCGUGUGUGAAGAAGGCCUUCGGGUUGUAAAGCUCUUUUGUCCGGGAGGAAAUCCUGGCCUUUAAUACAGGUCGGGGAUGACAGUAAAAGGAGAAUAAGCCCCGGCUAACUACGUG
rnacentral:rRNA from 1 species